rnacentral:rRNA from 1 species
AGAGUUUGAUCCUGGCUCAGAACGAACGCUGGCGGCAUGCCUAACACAUGCAAGUCGAACGAGACCUUCGGGUCUAGUGGCGCACGGGUGCGUAACGCGUGGGAAUCUGCCCUUGGGUUCGGAAUAACAGCUAGAAAUGGCUGCUAAUACCGAAUAAUGACGUAAGUCCAAAGAUUUAUCGCCCAAGGAUGAGCCCGCGUAGGAUUAGCUAGUUGGUGAGGUAAAAGCUCACCAAGGCGACGAUCCUUAGCUGGUCUGAGAGGAUGAUCAGCCACACUGGGACUGAGACACGGCCCAGACUCCUACGGGAGGCAGCAGUGGGGAAUAUUGGACAAUGGGCGAAAGCCUGAUCCAGCAAUGCCGCGUGAGUGAUGAAGGCCUUAGGGUUGUAAAGCUC